GGGGUCCUUGUGCACACACWCUUGGUUGUUUGCUUAGUGUAAUGGGGCUCUGUGUCCGGGGUAUUACUUGUAUCUCGGKAUCUACUAUACGGGUUAUGUCAUUGAUAUUGGCUGUUGUGGUCGUGAUUAGANUUGUUUGGGCUUUGUAGUGAGAMUGGUCUGACAAGAGGAGUUGACUGUSUCUAUAGAUAACUUGAUGUGAAUGUUUAGCUGUUCCAGGUGAGGAGGCUUGGAGUGUUUGCACAAGGGACGAGAAGACCCGUGUAGAUUUGUUAAUUUCGUUAGUUUUUUUGGGAUUGGUAUUGUUUGGCUUUUGAUGCUGUUUUAGAAUGGAUUUGGAUGUUUUAYGACUGGGGCGGCUGUGGGAGAUGAAUAUCUCCUGUUUGUAUUGUGGCAAAUUAAUGGUUGUAUUUGAGUCCUUUAUUAUGGAUACUUAAGAAAAAAAUACCUUCAGGGAUAUACAGCGUAAUUUUUCUUGAUGAGUACUUAUCGACUAGGAAAGUUUGCGACCUCGAUGCUUGCAAUUCAAAGGUGGAGUCUUGGUUUAAGGGGAUAACCCC
rnacentral:rRNA from 1 species